UAAGGAAUAUUGGUCAAUGGACGCAAGUCUGAACCAGCCAUGCCGCGUGAAGGAUGAAGGUCCUCUGGAUUGUAAACUUCUUUUAUCUGGGACGAAAACGGGAUUUUUAUCUCAAUUGACGGUACCAGAGGAAUAAGCACCGGCUAACUCCGUGCCAGCAGCCGCGGUAAUACGGAGGGUGCGAGCGUUAUCCGGAUUUACUGGGUUUAAAGGGUGCGUAGGUGGGCUUAUAAGUCAGUGGUGAAAUCUCCGAGCUUAACUUGGAAACUGCCGUUGAUACUAUAGGUCUUGAAUUAUCUGGAGGUAAGCGGAAUAUGGCAUGUAGCGGUGAAAUGCUUAGAUAUGACAUAGAACACCAAUUGCGAAGGCA
rnacentral:rRNA from 1 species